UGCUACAGCCAUAUUACCCUGCAGCCCAAGACCGGUUACACACUGAAGCUAAGCAGGGCUGAGCCUGGUCAGUACCUGGAUGGGAGACCACUAGGGAACACUAGGUUGCUGUUGGAA
rnacentral:rRNA from 1 species